AAAAAAGCACUUUAAAUUAUCUUUAAAUACACUUCUAAUUAUUAUAGGCAUAUUUACGCACGAUUAAAGCCGUUUUAAAAGCAGUUCUCAGCCAAUUUACUUUAACAGUCGUCACAUAAUUUUACCAGCAAAGAUGUGCCGUUUUUACAUGAUCCCACUGCUACUCAUGCUAACUGUAGCAAUAAGUUCAGCUCAUCAACCUAUACCAUGUUUGAAAAUUAAGUGUUCCCCAGAUUGUCCUAUCCCGGAAUGUCCUGAAGGAACGGUUUUAGGACGAUAUUCCGAUUGUCAAUGUUGUCCUUCUUGCGUAACACCUGAGGGGGGAAGUUGCCCAGUGGAAGACCACCCUUGCGAACUGGGUUCGCAUUGCUGCAAAGAAAAAUGUGUCCUGGAUUCAUCGUGCCCAAUGAAUCACUGAAGUAAUUACUUUUGCUAUAAACCUCGUAUGUGCAAAUAAAUAUAAAUGUAAACUUUA